rnacentral:rRNA from 1 species
UACGGGGGGGGCAAGCGUUGUUCGGAAUUACUGGGCGUAAAGGGCUCGUAGGUGGCCAACUAAGUCAGACGUGAAAUCCCUCGGCUUAACCGGGGAACUGCGUCUGAUACUGGAUGGCUUGAGUUUGGGAGAGGGAUGCAGAAUUCCAGGUGUAGCGGUGAAAUGCGUAGAUAUCUGGAGGAAUACCGGUGGCGAAGGCGGCAUCCUGGACCGACAUUGACGCUGAGGAGCGAAAGCCAGGGGAGCAAACGGG